CUCUGUAGAACACACUCCUGAGGAAUGGCAGUCCUUGAGCUCUGGAGAAGAAGGGUGUUUAUAUACCAAGAGCAGCCAACGAUUUGGCAAGGCAAGGCUAUGCAGUGUGGAAAAUGAACUCACGUGUCCAUCACCUGACUCUCUGAAGCCCCCAAGGAGAUUGACACUGGAGACAGCCACAAGGCCUGGCAGGGGUAUCAUCACUCUCAUGGACAUUGCCACGGAACCUCAGCGUUCUCAGCUCUUACCAGUCCAGCUUAACCUGAAUGUGACCAGUGCUGCUGCUUCCCACGGGGGGCUUUUCCUCACUUAACGCCGUAUUCCUGAGAUUCAUCAGUGUUGCGCUGUGUGCCUGGGACAGAUCGUCAGGUCCUCCUCUGUGUCACCUGCCUAUACCAUGGUCGUCCCAGAAUGUAAGGUGUCAACUUUCUCACACGCAUUUGCGAGUCUCUCAGAAGACGUGACUGCUCAGAGGAGUUGAAUCACAACUGAGAAAACAGCCUUAACUCUAGCACCUGAUCCUCCUGGAAUGAAAGGCCCUUGUUUUCUUGUAGGGUAAAGCCAUGCCUCCCCUUUCUGUAGGACCAAGCCCUGAAGGCGUACUCACUCUAACUUGAUAUCGGUGCCCGCUCCUCAGAGAACUCAGAGGCAUAGGUCCCUGAAGAUCUUGGGAAUGCAGCCAGUGGAAAGAGGAGGUGCGAGCAACACCAGCCCCAUGCC